GACAGAGGCCUCAAGCGUUAGGCGGAAUCACUGGGCUUAAAGCGUGUGUAGGCGGAUCGUUAAGUGUCUUGUGAAAUCCCACGGCUCACCCGUGGAACUGCUGGGCAUACUGGCGAUCUUGGGCCAACUAGGGGCAACUGGAACAAGCGGUGGAGCGGUGAAAUGCGUAGAUAUCGCUUGGAACGCCAAAGGUGAAAACAGGUUGCUGGGGUUG
rnacentral:rRNA from 1 species